CGCUAUUGGAGUUCGAUUAAGGCCAUGCGAGUCUAGAGGCCUAGCCUCGGCGUACCGCUCAGUAACACGUGGGUAACCUACCCUAUGCUGGGGAAUAAGCUCGGGAAACUGAGAAUAGUACCCCAUAGUCCACUACGCCUGGAACGGUGAGUGGAUCAAAGCUCCGGCGGCAUGGGAUGGGCCUGCGGCGUAUCAGGUUGUAGGGGGUGUAAUGUACCCUCUAGCCAUCCACGCGUACGGGUGUUGGGAGACAUUGCCCGGAGAUGGAUUCUGAGACACGAAUCCAGACCCUACGGGGUGCAGCAGGCGCGAAAACUUGGCAAUGCGAGAAAUCGUGACCAGGGAACUCCAAGUGGCAGGGGUAAGACCCUGUCUUUUUCCGACUCUAAAUAGGUCGGCGAAUAAGGGGUGGGUAAGGACGGUGCCAGCCGCCGCGGUAAUACCGGCGCCUCAAGUGGUAGUCGCUUUUAUUGGGCCUAAAACGUCCGUAGCCGGUCUGGUACAUUCGUGGGUAAAUCAACUCGCUCAACGAGUUGAAUUCUGCGAGGACGGCCAGACUUGGGACCGGGAGAGGUGUGGGGUACUCUCAGGGUAGGGGUAAAAUCCUGUCAUCCUGAGAGGACCACCUGUUGCGAAGGCUCCACACUAGAACGGAUCCGACGGUCAGGGACGAAGCCUAGGGGCACGAACCGGGAUUAGAUACCCGGGUAGUCCUAGGUGUAAACGCUGUGGACUUGAUGUUUGGGGACGCUCCGGAGCGUUCUCAGUGUCGAAGCGAA
rnacentral:rRNA from 1 species